UGUAAUUUAUACUUUUACACUACACCCUUUGUAAAAAAUGAAUCAGCUGUGAUAUAUAUAUAUAUAUAUAUAUAUAUUUUUUUUUUUUUUUUUUCUAACAUUGUUGUCCUAUAAUAUUAGGUUGGCGCUAAAACAAUUAACUUAGAAGAAACAUUGGACAUAAUAUACCAAUUGGGCUAUUAUCCUUCUAAAGAAAACAUAGAUGAGUUUGUUUAUACUAAUAAUGGUAUUUACUCUUUGUCUAACAUUAAAAAAUUUUGCAAUAAACUUGAAUCAAUCGAUUGCUCUACCGAAGGAUUAAUAGACGUGUUUAAUCAUUAUGACAUAAAUGUAAGUUAUUACUUUUUUGUUUACUUUUUAAUUGUUAAUCUGUUUUUAAUACUACAACUAGUGCUAGCUUUUUCUUUUUGAUAGCUCUAAAAUUGUUGUAAAAAGAUAAAAAAAAAAGUUUUAUUUUUUAAUCUUAUUUCACGUGCAUAUAUGUAUAUAUAUAUAUAUAUAUAUGUAUGUAUGU
ensembl:lncRNA